GUGUAAAACUUCAAGAUCUUUCUUAUGUUCUAAGAAUUCAGAAGUUGAUUCCUACAAAGGAUUUAGAUAUUUAAUCAAUAGAAGAUACUGCUAGAUUUUCAGAUGGCAUUCUAUCUACCAAGAGCCUCAAUUCCGGUGUCAAGGCCAGCAUCAUCAACACUGGACCUUAGCUAUGGAUGCCCUGAGAGAUUCAAGUAGCACCUUCCAACGGCCAUCACGGAGCACUAACAUCUCACAAGCUGCAGCUAUCCAACUAAUGCUGAGCAGCUGGAGAAUACAGCCCACAGCACAAAAGAAUUCAUUUAGGUGCGGGAAAUAAUCUAGAAUUUCCAGUGACUGACUAUAGAGAACACUUCUUUGUAAAAUACAAAGCACAGCUAAAUUAAAUCCUCAAAAAUGUU